ACAGGUUAGAAUAAAGGUAACGUGCUAGCAGACUAGAAGAAUGAGGAGGUAGAAGGCAAGAAGAGCAUUUCAGCUGCCACGACCUCUGAUCCCAUGAAACCUGACCAACAUUCAGGAUACAACAAAAAUCCAGAGGUCACAGUAGUACAUGAUUUUCUGAGAUGGUUGCAGAGGGCAUAGCUUCCUGUGGUCCCCCUGCAGCUCCAAUGAAGGAUUCAUCAUGAACUAGACCAAGGAAAUAGAACACAGAGAUGUGUCUGUGGCUCAGUAAAGAGUAAGCUCACAAGGUGUCUUAAAUUAAGAAUGCUGAGUGUGGAUGUAGAACCCCAAAAGCCUAAUGUCAUAAAGGCCAGAGGUCACAGGUCAGAGUCCUCACCUUGUUUCUGCUCGAUUGAGGCUCCGAACCCUGGUGCACCUUUUUGAGAAAGUAAGAGCAAGAGGAACCACAGCUGUCUCCCAUCAGUCCUCCCGGUUCAUACUGAAUGCCUCACUGGAACUACAGAAGCACCACAGGUAGCUGUGUCCUACUUCAACCAUGCACUAACAUCAUGCCCUCCCGUGACCACUGGAGUUUUGCUGCAUCCUCAACAAAUCCUACUCUCAGAAAUUUUUAAUUGCGCUGAAGUCCAAUUUAUCAAUUUGUUCUUGAUGGAUCGUGCCUUGGUUUCACUUAUUGAAGCAAUUAUGCUGGUUGGAAGAAGUUAA
rnacentral:lncRNA from 1 species